CGAUAGCGUCUAUUUAAGUUGCUGCAGUUAAAAAGCUCGUCGUUGGAUUUCGGGUGGGAAUGGCCGGUCCGCCGUUUCGGUGUGCACUUGCUACGCCCACCUUGCUGCCGGGGACGUGCUCUUGAGUUCACGCUCGGGACACGGAGUCGGCGAGGUUACUUUGAGUAAAUUAGAGUGUUCAAAGCAGGCCUACGCUCUGAAUACAUUAGCAUGGAAUAACACGAUAGGACUCUGGCCUAUCUUGUUGGUCUGUAGGACCGGAGUAAUGAUUAAGAGGGACAGUCGGGGGCAUUCGUAUUUCAUUGUCAGAGGUGAAAUUCUUGGAUUUAUGAAAGACGAACUACUGCGAAAGCAUUUGCCAAGGAUGUUUUCAUUAA
rnacentral:rRNA from 1 species